rnacentral:lncRNA from 1 species
GCACACCAGGCAAUGUGAGGCUCCAUCCAGUCAAAUACAGGAGGCAUGAAGCUCACUCAGUGACACACAGAAUAGGAGAUGGACACUGCCUCAGUGUAAGAUCAAGGCUGUCAGGAUCACCAUAAAGAAUCACAAAGAGCAAGAGAGAAAGCACGAUCAAGAGGAGCGGGGUCAAAAUCCUGUGACUUAGCUGUGGCCGUAACAAUACACAUGACAAAGUUUGAAUGAGAAAGUCCAUCUAGGAGAGAAAGUCAGACUCUGGACCUUGGAAGAUCACCUCUGCCAGAAAUCAUAAGCAAAAUUCUUCACCCCAGAGGCUCCAAUCUCAUUCCAAACCGGAAGUGAAGAUAUCUAUCACUGGGCGAGGCAGCGCUGGACCAGCGGGAGGAUGAGAGUCAGUAAUUGCUAUUCUGGUUGUUCAGCUCUGACAAUAAACUCAUAACUGCAGCUCGGUGAGAUGCACAAAGGAGAGAAAGACAAACACAGGCCCAGGGCUCCUUAGGAGGUGCUUUCAGAAACAGGAUGAAGAGUGUUACAGAAACUGAAGCCCAGUGUCAUGAGCAGAUAAACAGUCAGUUCUCGCUCCCUGCGAGUUGCCUAGGUGAUUUGCAGAAGACCGGGGAAUUGCUUGAUUCCCCUUUCCUU